AUUGAGCGCUGGCGGCAGGCUUAACACAUGCAAGUCGAGCGGAGAUGAGGUGCUUGCACCUUAUCUUAGCGGCGGACGGGUGAGUAAUGCUUAGGAAUCUGCCUAUUAGUGGGGGACAACAUUCCGAAAGGAGUGCUAAUACCGCAUACGUCCUACGGGAGAAAGCAGGGGAUCUUCGGACCUUGCGCUAAUAGAUGAGCCUAAGUCGGAUUAGCUAGUUGGUGGGGUAAAGGCCUACCAAGGCGACGAUCUGUAGCGGGUCUGAGAGGAUGAUCCGCCACACUGGGACUGAGACACGGCCCAGACUCCUACGGGAGGCAGCAGUGGGGAAUAUUGGACAAUGGGGUGAACCCUGAUCCAGCCAUGCCGCGUGUGUGAAGAAGGCCUUAUGGUUGUAAAGCACUUUAAGCGAGGAGGAGGCUACUGAGACUAAUACUCUUGGAUAGUGGACGUUACUCGCAGAAUAAGCACCGGUUAACUCUGUGCCAGCCGCCGCCGUAAGAC
rnacentral:rRNA from 1 species